CCAGGAUAGAGGGACUGAGGGUGUGAUUCAGUAAAAUGAAGCUUCUUAUGUUCCUAUGCUGUCUUCACUUGAGGACACUCAUGAUUCUGACGUGAAACCCUGAACGGCAAUCUGCCUCAGUUCCUGAACAUCUGCCCGCUCUGUAGAAAUCUCAGCCCAAGAUUUCAUUUUCUACUUUCUCUGACUGACAGAAGGUAACCAGUCAGAAAACAAAAAGCUUAUUAACUGCAAGAUAAGCAGGUGAGGAAAAGCAGGUGUCCUUCAACACUUGAGGAAGCACCUCUUCUAAAACUGUUCCACAGGGCUGCCACCAUGGACGCGGCACCGAUUCUGAAGGAAUGAGUCCUGAAAUGCCACCCUUGAAUCCCAACCUGGCAUAAGGCCUGGGAUGUGACUUUCCAGAAUUGAUACUGUGUCAAGAAUGACCUCUCUGCAUGAUGCAAAAAAACACCAUCAUCGUUCCCUCUAAGCUGCAAAUAGUCCUGCAUGGCCUUCCAAGGGCAAAUUUCAGUUAAGGAACAUUGGCCUAAUAUGAUAAACUUCUCCUUUCCUUGUUGGUCAGUUUUGGACCAACACAAAUGAAUGGCUACCUGGCCCUGGGAUAUGACUACGUCCUUCAUCUGCAAAGAGGAUAGCAACGUGUCAUUUUUUGCUGUCGCUACCAGUUCACUUAUAUGCAAG